UUACGGACAAACGCCGCACUUCCUCAAAUUCAAACGCACUUUUACAAGUGUUUACGCGCAUUGAGGGGGUAAGGUCGGAGGAACUUCUUCGUGGCAUGCUCGUGAGGAGCGGAGGACGAAAGUCCUGCCGGGUGUACCAGAAAUUCGAUUUCAUGGGUUUGUCCUGUGAGAUCUUGAAACGCACCCGAGAAGAUGUCUUUUAGUGCAAUGUGCGGCACCUGACAAAAGUCAGGCAACUCGAUUCCGACUA
rnacentral:RNase_P_RNA from 1 species